rnacentral:pre_miRNA from 1 species
AAUAAGUGCAGCCGUGGAUAUCCGUGCCCAACGUUUGACCGUCCGUCUUAUUUGAAAAAUUUAAAAAUAUUUAGUCACACAUACAGUACUAUUCAUGUUUUAUCAUCUAAUAGCAAUAAAAAUACUAAUCAUAAAAAAAUUUCAAAUAAGACGAACGGUCAAACAUUGAAUAUAAAUAGUGCAAAAUUGCACUUAUU